UUCUAACCAAGUCGGUUGGCCUGGUUGCGGGGCAAUGAUGGAAGAGGUCGGUCUACUGUUGGAGAUUAUCUGGAGGCUUCGAUUUUUAUGGGAGUGGCGUGCGUCGGUCUUCUUUUUCAUAUCGAACUCCAGCUUCCUCUCUGUUUCAGUCUCUUUCUCUCACUGAUCUGAAGGUUUAUGCUUCUUUGGCAAGAAGAGAAAUGCGCUGCAAGGAACCCAAAAAUACCAGGACUCUUCAUGCCUAAUAGGAAACCCAAUAGAUGACUGUUAGGAAUGUGACCCAAAUUGGCCAAACAACAGGCAGAGCUUAGCAGAUUGUGCAAUUGGGUUUGGCUAAUAUGCUCUUGGAGGCAAAGGUGGUGAGUAUUAUAUUGUCACAGACUCUUCUAAUGAUGAUGCUGUGAAUCCAAGGCGGGGCACUCUGAGUUAUGCUGUGAUACAGACUGAGCCUCUCUGGAUUGUGUUCCCUGGCAACAUGCUCAUCAAGCUCUCCCAAGAGCUCAUCUUCAACAGCUACAAAACCCUUGAUGGCCGUGGAGCCAAUGUCCACAUUGUGGGUGGUGGCUGCACCACAUUGCAGUUCAUAAGCAAUGUCAUCAUCCACAAUGUGCAUAUCCACAACUGUUAUCCGUCAGGUGGCACUAACAUGCGUUCAAGCCCAACCCACUACGGCUACCGCACAAAAUCAGACGGAUUUUGACUGGUAAAGGAUUGAUACUCAAUCAAAUACAGGGAAAUUUCAAUCCCUCUUUCGUGUAUGAGCCCUCAUAAAGAUGACAUUUAUAUGCUUUUGUUGAAGAACUUUACGAAAUAUUCAUUACAUUUUUGUGUUGUUUUACCACACAUUGUAUUUCAGUAUCUUCUUCAGGAUGUUGCUUUGGAGCCCAAAUGGUUGAAUAAAAUCCCUGUAGGUGGGUUUUUCUGGUAAUGCAUCUUCAGCCCCUGAAUCAAGAAAUUGUAAAUUCUCCAGUAAUGUGAUGAUUCAUGCAGUUGACAAAUUCGGGAGCUUCUUAAGGCAAUUUCCUCUUUUUCCAAAUGCUUUUCUGGUUGGUGGUUGGUGCAGAAGACUUCUUUAUUAUUCAACUUGCAGAUCAGCUUCAAAAACUGAAGGUGGAACCAGCACAUAAAACUUCUCCAGGGCCCGAGUCAUUGGGUAUUAUUGUUGGAAUUAUUUUCUUGGUCUUGGGAAUCUUAUUCUAGUUUUUCAACUUCACUGCAGAUUCAAAUAGUUAAAACCUCCGCCGAGGACAAGAAAGAACAUAAGCCACCUCUACAGCUGAGCUAACAAGAGAAAGAAUCCCUAUAGUUCAAAUAGGCAGCUCUUGGGGACUUUGAAACAUGUGAUGCCAUGUAGGCAUACACCCUUCUCAUCCAGCUAAUAUGUUUCUCAGUUUCCUUGUCAUCAUCCCAAGUGACCAAAUACUGGAUUGCAAAUAUACUUCCAUUUCUAUGUGGGAAAGGAGUUUCUGAAUAAGAUAUCUCACUCAUUCUUCCACCGUAAGGUGCCAAUAUCAACUGGGAUGUCUCUACUUCAAGUAGUCUUUGCCACAAACCUUCCAAGCCAGCUUGUGAAAUGUGUUGCGUCACAUUGUCCGAUUUUGCUUUGAAGAAGCUCCUAGAUGGCUGAGUCCUUUUCAGCAAAACUUCCAAAUAUUCGCUUAUUGGGAAGCCAGCAAAGUACAUCACAGACUGGAUCCAACUCAUUUCAGUGCAAUUGCUGUGGUCUAAACUCAAGUCCGGGAACUUAUCUUGCAUCAAAAGGAGAAGCUUCUCAACCGGUCCAAGAAACAACGAAUCAAACGACACUUUAAUAGUUUUGCCAUCAGUUGCACCGGCUUCAUUUGCAACUUCCACAACCAAAUGUAAGAAAAGGUCUUCAUGGAGCUUAUCUGUUACACCUUCUUAUAUGGCCAGAAUGACUGCAAAGCUCGAGCCUCAUCCUCCUCUGAUAGCCCAUAAGAGUUCUUCUCCCAUGGGCAGAGUUCUCCUCCAAUCUAAUAAAAUCACUUUCUUGUUUCCCUUACAAUUCUAACAAAAAGGAUGAAAAGUAGAGGAAGUAGUUUCAUGUGUAAGGUCACCAUUUUCAUUUCCUCUGUAUGAAAUGCAUGAGCUCUUAGCUCACUUGAAAGAUAAUUGCAGGCAUUAGGUGUGCAUAUUGAAGACAAAGCAAAGGUUCAGUAUGUGUCUCUUUCUUCUGUCAGUUAUUAUAGAAGAAACAAGUAACAAAACUCUACGGAUUUAGAGUCUUCUC